GUGGGGAAUCUUGCGCAAUGGGCGAAAGCCUGACGCAGCCAUGCCGCGUGAAUGAUGAAGGUCUUAGGAUUGUAAAAUUCUUUCACCGGGGACGAUAAUGACGGUACCCGGAGAAGAAGCUCCGGCUAACUUCGUGCCAGCAGCCGCGGUAAUACGAAGGGGGCUAGCGUUGCUCGGAAUUACUGGGCGUAAAGGGCGCGUAGGCGGACAGCUUAGUCAGAGGUGAAAGCCCAGGGCUCAACCUUGGAAUUGCCUUGGAGACUGGCUGUCUUGAGUUUGGGAGAGGUGAGUGGAACUCCGAGUGUAGAGGUGAAAUUCGUAGAUAUUCGGAAGAACACCAGUGGCGAAGGCGACUCACUGGCCCAAUACUGACGCUGAGGCGCGAAAGCGUGGGGAGCAAACAGGAUUAGAAACCCCGGUAGUCC
rnacentral:rRNA from 1 species